rnacentral:rRNA from 1 species
UUUUUCCUACGGGGGGCAGCAGUAGGGAAUCUUCCACAAUGGACGAAAGUCUGAUGGAGCAACGCCGCGUGAGUGAAGAAGGGUUUCGGCUCGUAAAGCUCUGUUGGUAGUGAAGAAAGAUAGAGGUAGUAACUGGCCUUUAUUUGACGGUAAUUACUUAGAAAGUCACGGCUAACUACGUGCCAGCAGCCGCGGUAAUACGUAGGUUGCAAGAGUUUGCCGGAUUUAUUGGGCGUAAAGCGAG